rnacentral:rRNA from 1 species
ACACGUGAUUCAGAGUUUGAUCCUGGCUCAGGAUGAACGCUAGCGGCAGGCUUAACACAUGCAAGUCGAGGGGCAGCAUAAACAUUGCUUGCAAUGUUUGAUGGCGACCGGCGCACGGGUGCGUAACGCGUAUGUAACCUACCUCAAACAGGGGCAUAACACUGAGAAAUUGGUACUAAUUCCCCAUAACACUCAUUAAGGCAUCUUUUUGAGUUGAAAGUUCCGGCGGUUUGAGAUGGACAUGCGUUGUAUUAGCUAGUUGGUGAGGUAACGGCUCACCAAGGCGACGAUACAUAGGGGGACUGAGAGGUUAACCCCCACAUUGGUACUGAGACACGGACCAA